UACGUAGGGCGCAAGCGUUGUCCGGAAUUAUUGGGCGUAAAGCGCUCGUAGGCGGCCUGUUACGUCUGCUGUGAAAUCCCGGGGCUUAACCCCGGGCGUGCAGUGGAUACGGGCAGGCUGGAGGCAGGCAGGGGAGAACGGAAUUCCCGGUGUAGCGGUGAAAUGCGCAGAUAUCGGGAGGAACACCGGUGGCGAAGGCAGGUCUCUGGGCUGACACUGACGCUCAGGCACGAAAGCGUGGGGAGCAAACAGG
rnacentral:rRNA from 1 species